rnacentral:lncRNA from 1 species
CUUAAUUCAUUUUGAUUAUUUUUUAUAUAAUUGUGGUGUCUGACAACUUUGCGCACCUCGCUUAAUUCCACAAGAAUACUUGUUACCUCCUACCAACACAAGUGCCAGGUAACUCAAUCCAACAUGGCUUAGACAAAUGGAAAAACAUCAGCUGGAAUUUGAACCUCAGACCCACUUCAUUGAUCACAACGCCACACCCUUGGGUGCUCAUUUUAUUUAAGCUUUGAGUAACUAAACUCAUUUUCCAACAAAAAAUGACCAACUAGCUUGCUAGAUAAUAUAAUUGAAAAACGAAUGAUAACACAUUACAACACUCUUAAAAUAUUAUUCUCUCCGGGCCAAUUUAUGUGGUGGAAUUCGACUCAACACAAAGUUUAAGAAAAGAACUUUUGGACUUAUGGCCUUGAACCUACUAUGAGAUUCUUAUGACUAAAAAAGUAUGACAUUAAGAGUAAAAUGAAAAUUUUUAAAUGAAAUAUUUCCAAAUAAAAGGUAUCAUUCUUUUGGAAUGGACUAAUAAGAACAACGACAUAUAAUAUGUAAUAGAGGGAGUAUUAAAGAGUAUUACAAAUAAUUUCUUAAUAACUAGAUAAGUAGUUUGAAAGAUACAUAUGAAAAAUGAAUCAGAAAAUAUUAUUAUCUUUUUGUGCUUCAUUGUUAAAUACUUUUAUUUCUUCAGAUUUUUCAAAGGAUUGUUGUCCAAAGAUAAAAGGUGGUCAAACUAGGGAAAAGAUAAGUUGUUUACCGGAAAGUUCUAAAUCAUAUGUCUGCAUGUUGUGUUCCACAUAGGAUCAGCAUGAAUACCUAAAUAACCUGCCCAUACACAUCAGGAUGAGAUGGAGAAAAAUAAAAGCAAGAUAAGAAUAACUGCCUUGUAAGAGAAGGCAAUACAUACAAUCCAGACAAGCACAUGAAUUAUAGAUCUUACAUGUCAAAUUGAUAUCUUUGAAUGGCUAUUUUUUCUUGCCUAAUUAAUUAAGCAACACUUCAAGGAUGACCCCACACAUGUUCCUAAGGGGACAGGCAAGUGGUGGCUAUGAAUCAUCACUACUGUACAAUAAUGUCAUAAACUCGAAUUUUUCAUCUUGUCAACUUUAACAUACAAGACUGGUAAAACUAACUUGAGAUAAAUUCGAAAGCAUAUGAUGGCUAACCUAAUAGUAACAAUAUGAUUCUCAACAAUGUCCCUCUUGAGAUUAAAAAUUAUUGUUUUUAGUUUAAACAAAUGCUUAAUCAUAAAGAAUUACCUACAAAAUAACCAGUUAAUUUUCAUGGGAAAGAAGUUGAGUCGAUUAAGCCAAAUUAAAAUACCUUACUAAUUCUGAAGAGAUAACUUCAGUAUGUGAAACUUUUUCUUACUUUGGCUCAACUUACAAAAGAAGGCAGCAUCAUAAAGCAAAUCUGUCAACUAAUCUAAAGUUUUAAAAAAAAAAUACACAUGUGCACACAAAUCUUAAUGACAAAAUGAGUCAGCAUGAGAUUAGUUUACUGUAAUUGACCAGACAGCUAAAAGAAGACAUUUUCAAUACCUUACGAGAAAAGAGAAAAAGAUAUAAAAGGAAUUUAGAAAAUAAAGGGAGUGGUUGAACAUGCACUGCACUUUGAUUGUUUUUAGAAUAUUUCAAAUUUCAAUCAACAAAAAGAUUAUUGAAGACACUCCCAUCUCCCUGACAACCUUUUUCUUCUUGAUACAAAAGAAAAUUCUGAAAAAGCAUAUGCAUGACCUUUUUUGGUUAUUUCAGAUGACCCAUAGCUGACUCAUGCAACAAUCAGUUAAAAGAUUCACCAACUCCUCUGCAAGCACCUAUAUAUAAUGCUACAUGGAAUGCUUUUAAACCAUCAACCAAACUUAAAUAUUUCUCACAUACCUUCAAAAAUACGGUAAUACUCCACCUCAAAUCAGAACCACAAUGAAGAACUUACUCCAUGGAAAUUUGGUGGGUAUUCCCAUGAGUUCAGCAGUAUGUUCACUUGAAAGGCAGCCGAAAAGACUACUUGCCCUAUCUGCUUGCGAAGACCAUAUCGUUCCAUAUGGAGCUUCAAAGAACUUGUCUCAAAUAAAGCAAAGUGAGUAUCCCUGGUCUCUUAAGGAAGAAUCAACUUGAUCUGACCCUUGAAUGUAGAGAUCAUAAAAAUAACAAUAUUCUUGAAUAUGCAGGAAAAUAUGGCAUUGUUAAGAUGAACAAAUUGGGAGAAAGGAUGGAUUGUCUUGUACAAAGCAUCCGUGAGCAUGGUAAGCACUUAAAUUCUCUAUAAAAAACUUAAAUAUAUUUAUUGAAAAUAUUACUAAGAUAACAUUUUGUUCAAGUCGAAAAAUAAGUAUUUGAACUUGAAGUUGAAAGGGGUAUUUGGGAAUUGAAAUUGUGUCCGGACAUGAGUUCCGUUUGAAAAAAAAAAAGUUUUAAGCGAAAACAAUUAUCUCACUCAAAAAUGCUACUCAGACAAGUUAAUUCCAUACUAUACCAGUCUUACAAAUGCUAAAACAUUCGCCAACUGCGAAUACUGAUGGACAAACUUCACCUUAAGUAUUUGCAAGUGAUGUCAUGACCAAACACUAGUGUAAAUCUAAAGAACUCAGAGAAGUGAGUCAUGAAGUACAAAAUUCAUGCAAGAAGCACAUGCAUACAUGAUAGAAAACAUUGAUUUUAAAUGUACUCUAAUUGUGCAGUGAGCCUAAGCGCGAAACUAACAGAAACUUUAAAGGGAAAAUUGAGCCUUGGAGCAAAAAUUCUUCAAGUAGGAGGGUUGAAGAAAAUAUUCAGGCAGAAGUUCAGUGUUAGAGAUGAUGAAAAGCUAUUGAAAGUUUGUCAAUGCUAUUUAUCAACUACAGCUGGUCCAAUAGCAGGCCUUCUCUUCAUCUCUACCGAUAAGAUUGCUUUCUGCAGUGAGAGAUCAAUAAAGCUCUCAUCUCCAACUGAAAAGUUGCUUAGAAUCUACUAUAAGGUACCACUCUGCUCCGUUUGUCUUUCAACUCUUAAUUUUCUAACCACGUAAAGCAUAAUCUAACUGGUUCACAAUGGCAGGUAUCAAUCCCAGUAAGUAAGAUAAUGAAAGCAAAAGAGAGCAAGAAUAUGCAAAAGCCAUCACACAAGUAUAUACAAGUAAUUACAGAGGAUGAUUUUGAGUUCUGGUUUAUGGGAUUUCUCAAUCAUCAAAAGACACUAAGGUAUCUGCAGCAGGCAAUCUCCAGCUCAAGCAAGUUAUGAAGACAACAUUUUUUCCUUUGUUCAUUUUUUUUCCAAUGAGCUCAUUCUUCAAUAUAAAACAUUCAUGCAAAAACGAAGUCAGGGAUCUGUUAAAACUUUGUAACUAGAUCCAUUGCUCAAAGGAAGCUUUAGGUUUAAGCUUUGUGCCCUUAUGAGUUAAUGGGAAUGUACAGACUUUUUUUUUGAAACUGGUAGCUUUUGUAUAGACUUAUUUUCUUUUUUGAGAAAGCAAGAGAUACAAAUGUAUAAAUUUAUUAUAAAACUUGUGCAGAUAGAUUGGUUUUUUUUGUAGAUUCAUUUAUCUUUCUACUUGUCCUUAGAGUAGACUUUAUGACCCAAGUGGUAGAUAUGAAAACAAGAACAAUAUGCUAGUUAUAGAAUUAGCAUUUUAGAUUGUUUAUAUGCAAAUUUAAUACUGCAUUCACAAGCUUUGCUGCCUUCAAGUUCUUUUAGUAUCCUUGAGAUAAGAAAAGGUGUAGCCAUUCUCACAAUGGAAUGCUACCCAUUCAUGAAAAGUGAACUGGUAUCAGCGUCCAUAAAAUGAUGAACCAGCCAAUUUGAAAUACUAAAAUUGGCAGUGUGUUUAACUUCUCUGCAUUUUACACUAUCAAGUUACAUAAAUGAUAACCACAGGUAACUGUAUUAAAAAGGUGGAUUUAGUAACCUGAAAAUCUGGGCAAGUUACCUGCUACAAGACGUUAAUAUACACUGUCAAUGUAAAGGCAACUUACCUACUAUAACAUGCUAAAAUACACUAUCAAUGUGAAAAAAAUGUUAUAUCAUCACUAAUAUACACUUGGUUUGUUGUUGAUAUCUCAGGUAAUAGCAAAGCAUUCUCAAACUUCAUAUUACUACAUAUUUAUGACAUAAACCCAAAAAACAAACCAAAUACAAUCAAUCUAUACUUCUUGAUCAUAGAUGUAGUCAAAGCACCCUAAGUAAGUGAUCAAAAUCCGGUGUGGAUCUCACACCCACACUUAUGUCGUGUUGACACGUGUGUGGUAGGAAUUUCGAAGAGUCUCAGUACCAUAGAUAAACUAUGAUAGUAGGGUACCAUACCCCUAAACUCUACAAUCCAAAAGAAGGCACAAGACUUCUCAUAGCUUGAUUUAGUUAUAACUAACUUUCUUGAGAUAUUUUCGGUAACACUAAUUGCUCUUCUCGUUUCGGAUAUGAUAGACGCUUAAUUCAUUUUCAUUUCUUUUAUAUAAUUGUGGUGUCUGACCACUUUGUGCACCUCGCUUAAUUCCACAAGAAUACUUGUUACCUCCUACCAACACAAGUACCAGGUAACUCAAUCCAACAUGGCAUAGACAAAUGGAAAAACAUCCACUGGAAUUUUAACCUCAGACCUCAUGGUCCUGAAAACUCACUUCAUUGAUCACAACGCCACACCCUUGGGUGCUCAUUUUAUUUAAGCUUUGCGUAACUAAACUCAUUUCCCAACAAAAAUUGACCAAAUAGCUUGCUAGAUAAUAUAAUUGAAAAACGAAUGAAAACACAUUACAACACUCUUAAAAUAUUAUUCUCUCCGGGCCAAUUUAUGUGGUGGAAUUCGACUCAACACGAAGUUUAAGAAAAGAACUUUUGGACUUAUGGCCUUGAACCUACCAUGAGAUUCUUGUGACUAAAAAAGUAUGACAUUAAGGGUAAAAUGAAAAAUUUUAAAUGAAAUAUUUCCAAGUAAAAGGUAUCAUUCUUUUGGAAUGGACUAAUAAAAACAAUGACAUAUAAUAUGUAAUAGAGGGAGUAUUAAAGAGUAUUACAAAUAAUUUCUUAAUAACUAGAUAAGUAGUUUGAAAGAAACACAUGAAAAAUGAAUCAAAAAAUAUUAUUAUCUUUUUAUGCUUCAAUUGUUAAAAUACUUUAUUUCUUUAGAUUUUUCAAAGGAUUGCUGUCCAAAGAUAAAAGAUGGUCAAACUAGGGAAAAGAUAAGUUAGUUUACCAGAAAGUUCAAAAUCAUAUGUCUGCGUGUUGUGCUCCACAUAGGAUCAGCAUGAAUGCCUACAUAACCUGCCCAUACACAUCAGGAUGAGAUGGAUAAAAAUAAAGAAAGAUAAGAAUAACUGCCUUGUAAGAGAAGGCAAUACAUACAAUCCAGACAAGCACAUGAAUUAUAGAUCUUACAUGUCAAAUUGAGAUCUUUGAAUGGCUAUUUUUCCUUGCCUAAUUAAUUAAGCAACACUUCAAGGAUGACCCUCACAUGUUCCUAAGGGGACAGGCAAGUGGUGGCUAUGAAUCAUCACUACUGUAUGUACAAUAAUGUCAUAAAUUCAAAUUUUUCACCUUGUCAACUUUAACACACAAGACUGGUAAAACUAACUUGAGAAAAAUUCGAAAGCAUAUGACGGCUAACCUAAUAGUAACAAUAUGAUUCUCAACAAUGUCCCUCUUGAGAUUAAGAACAAUUGUUUUUAGUUUAAACAACUGCUUAAUCAUAAAGAAUUACCUACAAAAUAACCAGUUAAUUUUCAUGGGAACGAAGUUGAGUCGAUUAAGCCAAAUUAAACUACCUUACUAGUUCGGAAGAGAUAACUUCAAUAUGUGAAACUUUCUCUUACUUUGGCUCAACUUACAAAAGAAGGCAGCAUCAUAAAGCAAAUCUGUCAACUAAUCUAAAGUUAUAAAAAAAAAAAAUACACAUGUGCACACAAAUCUUAAUGACAAUGAGUCAGCAUGAGAUUAGUUUACUGUAAUUGACCAGACAGCUAAAAGAAGACAUUUUCAAUACCUUACGAGAAAAGAGAAAAAGAUAUAAAAGGAAUUUAGAAAAUAAAGGGAGUGGUUGAACAUGCACUGCACUUUGAUUGUUUUUAGAAUAUUUCAAAUUUCAAUCAACAAAAAGAUUAUUGAAGACACUCCCAUCUCCCUGACAACCUUUUUCUUCUUGAUACAAAAGAAAAUUCUGAAAAAGCAUAUGCAUGACCUUUUUUGGUUAUUUCAGAUGACCCAUAGCUGACUCAUGCAACAAUCAGUUAAAAGAUUCACCAACUCCUCUGCAAGCACCUAUAUAUAAUGCUACAUGGAAUGCUUUUAAACCAUCAACCAAACUUAAAUAUUUCUCACAUACCUUCAAAAUACGGUAAUACUCCACCUCAAAUCAGAACCACAAUGAAGAACUUACUCCGUGGAAAUUUGGUGGGUAUUCCCAUGAGUACAACAAUAUGUUCACUUGAAAGGCAGCCGAAAAAACUAUUUGCCCUAUCUGCUUGCGAAGACCAUAUCGUUCCAUAUGCAACUUUAAAGAACUUGUCUCAAAUUAAGCAAAGUGAGUGUUUCCCUGGUCCCUUAAGGAAGAAUCAACUUGAUCUGACCCUUGAAUGUAGAGAUCAUAAAAAUAACAAUAUUCUUGAAUAUGCAGGAAAAUAUGUCAUUGGUAAGAUUAACAAAUUGGGAGAAAGGGUGGAUUGUCUUGUACAAAGCAUCCGUGAGCAUGGUAAGCACUUAAGUUCGCUACAAAAAACUUAAAUAUAUUUAUUGAAAAUAUUACUAAGAUAAUAUUAUGUUCAAGUCGGAAAAUAAGUAUUUGAACUUGGAGUUGAAAGGAGUAUUUGGGAAUUGAAAUUGUGUCUGGACAUGAAUUUUGUUUGAAAAAAAAGUUUGUAAGCGAAAACAAUUAUCUCACACAAAAAUACUACUCAGACAAGUUAAUUCAAUACUACACCUGUCUUUCAAAUGCUAAAAUCACCAACUGUGAAUACUGAUGGACAAACUUUACCUCAAGUAUUUGCAAGUGAUGUCAUGACCAAACACUAUUGUAAAUCUAAAGAACUCAGAGAAGUGAGUCAUAAAGUAAAAAAUUCAUGCAAGAAACACAUGUAUACAUGAUAGAAAGCAUUGAUUUUAAAUGUACUCUAAUUGUGCAGUGAGCCUAAGCCCGAAACUAACAGAAACUUUAAAGGGAAAAUUGAGCCUUGGAGCAAAAAUUCUUCAAGUAGGAGGGUUGGAGAAAAUAUUCAGGCAGAAGUUCAGUCUUAGAGAUGAUGAAAAGCUAUUGAAAGUUUGUCAAUGCUAUUUAUCAACUACAGCUGGUCCAAUAGCAGGCCUUCUCUUCAUCUCUACCGCUAAGAUUGCUUUCUGCAGUGAGAGAUCAAUAAAGCUCUUAUCUCCAACUGAAAAGUUGCUUAGAACUUACUAUAAGGUACCACUCUGCUCCGUUUGUCUUUCAACUCUUAAUUUUCUAACCAUGUAAAGCAUAAUCUAACUGGUUCACAAUGGCAGGUAUCAAUCCCAAUAAGUAAGCUACUGAAAGCAAAGGAGAGCAAGAAUAUGCAAAAGCCAUCACAGAAGUAUAUACAAGUAAUUACAGAGGAUGAUUUUGAGUUCUGGUUUAUGGGAUUUCUCAAUCAUCAAAAGACACUGAGAUAUCUGCAGCAGGCAAUCUCCAGCUCAAGGAAGUUAUGAAGACAACAUUUUUUCCUUUUGUUCAUUUCUUUUCCAAGGAGCUCGUUCUUCAAUGUAAAACGUUCAUGCAAAAACGAACUCAGGGAUCUGUUAAAACUUUGUAACUAGAUCCAUUGCUCAAAGGAGGCUUUAGGUUUAAGCUUUGUGCCCUUAUGAGUUAAUGGGAAUGUACAGACUUUUUUUUUUAGAUACGAAUGUAUAAAUUUAUUAUAAAACUUGUGCAGAUAGAUUGGUUUUUUUUGUAGAUUCAUUUAUCUUUCUACUUGUCCUUAGAGUAGACUUUAUGACCCAAGUGGUAGAUACGAAAACAAGAACAAUAUGCUAGUUAUAGAAUUAGCAUUUUAGAUUGUUUAUAUGCAAAUUUAAUACUGCAUUCACAAGCUUUGCUGCCUACAAGUUCUUUAAGUACGAUAUAUAGUGUCUUCAAAUUAUUUAUCUUUUGGAUAAAAUGAAAUAAGAUAUAAAAUCUGCAGUUGUGAAGUCAGUUUGAGGGAUAUUUCCCUGUUGUAAUUCAAUAUGCUGAGGCCGGAAACCACACUAUAUCAAUUUAAGAAUCUAAGUGAUCAUCAUCAUUUUUCUGGUCUGUAGUUCCUCACACCUUGAGAUAAGAAAAGGUGUAGCCAUUCUCACAAUGGAAUGCUACCCAUUCAUGAAAAGUGAACUGGUAUCAGCGUCCAUAAAAUGAUGAACCAGCCAAUUUGAAAUACUAAAAUUGGCAGUGUGUUUAACUUCUCUGCAUUUUACACUAUCAAGUUACAUAAAUGAUAACCACAGGUAACUGUUUAAAAAAGGUGGAUUUAGUAACCUGAAAAUCUGGGCAAGUUGCCUGCUACAAGACAUUAAUAUACACUGUCAAUGUAAAGGCAACUUACCUACUAUAACAUGCUAAAAUACACUAUCAACGUGAAAAAAAAAUGUUAUACCGUCACUAAAAUACACUUGGUUUGUUGUUGAUAUCUCGUGUAAUAGCAAAACAUUCUCAAACUUCAUAUUACUACAUAUUUAUGACAUAAACCCAAAAAACAAACCAAAUACAAUCAAUCUAUACUUCUUGAUCAUAGAUGUAGUCAAAGCACCCUAAGUAAGUGAUCAAAAUCCGGUGUGGAUCUCACACCCACACUUUUGUCGUGUUGACACGUGUGUGGUAGGAAUUUUGAAGAGUCUGAGUACUAUAGAUAAACCAUGAUAGUAGAGUACCAUACCCCUAAACUCAACAUCCAAAAGAAGGCACAAGACUUCUCAUAUCUUGAUUUAGUUACAACUAACUUUCUUGAGAUAUUUUCGGUAACACUAAUUGCUCUUCUCGUUUUGCACCUGAUAGAGGCUUAAUUCAUUUUGAUUUUUCUUAUAAUUGUGGUGUCUGACCACUUUGCGCACCUCGCUUAAUUCCACAAGACUACUUGUUACCUCCUACCAACACAAGUGCUAGGUAACUCAACCCAAUAUGGCUUAGACAAAUGGAAAAACAUCAGCUGGAAUUUGAACCUCAGACCCACUUCAUUGAUCACAACGCCACACCCUUGGGUACUCAUUUAAGCUUUAUGUAACUAAACUCAUUUUCCAACAAAAAUUGGCCAACUAGCUUGCUAGAUAAUAUAAUUGAAAAACGAAUGAAAACACAUUACAACGCUCUUAAAAUAUUAUUCUCUCAGGGCCAAUUUAUGUGGUGGAAUUCGACUCAACA